rnacentral:rRNA from 1 species
AGUGAACGCUGGCGGUAGGCCUAACACAUGCAAGUCGAACGGCAGCACAGUAAGAGCUUGCUCUUACGGGUGGCGAGUGGCGGACGGGUGAGGAAUACAUCGGAAUCUACUUUUUCGUGGGGGAUAACGUAGGGAAACUUACGCUAAUACCGCAUACGACCUACGGGGGAAAGCAGGGGAUCUUCGGACCUUGCGCGAUUGAAUGAGCCGAUGUCGGAUUAGCUAGUUGGCGGGGUAAAGGCCCACCAAGGGGACGAUCCGUAGCUGGUAUGAGAGGAGGAUCAGCGACACGGGAACUGAGACACGGUCCAGACUCCUACGGGAGGCAGCAGUGGGGAAUGUUGGACAAUGGGCGCAAGCCUGAUCCAGCCAUACCGCGUGGGUGAAGAAGGCCUUCGGGUUGGAAAGCCCGUUUGUUGGGAAAGAAAAGCAGCAGGUUAAUACCCCGCUGUUCUGACGGUACCCAAAGAAUAAGCACCGGCUAACUUCGUG